CAUUAGGAGAGGAUCUUGCAAGUCGUCCCUGCGAACUGAGGCCAGUGAGAGAUUGAAUCCAGCUCCGGUUGGCUGCAGAGUCCAGUCCAGGACUUCGGGUGCCGGCUCUGCAGUUGCUGAGACUUUCAAGACUGUGCUCAUCAAGACGUUCUGCUGCCUGUUGCCUUCUCAAGCCACCCCUGCCCAGCUCGGUGGGACUGCCAGGAAAGUGCUUUUCCCAGGUAUGCUUUGGGCAGGAUUUCACUCUGCUGAACCCAGCUGUGAUGGACAGGGAGUUACCAGCGCCAGCCCAAACCCAUCACCUCGCUCUGCAAGUGGCGUGUGCCCCACAGAGCGGAGACAAGGGCAGGAGGGAAUGACAAGAGUCACUUUUUCUCGUCGUCUCCGUGGGUACGUGUGUGCAGAACAGCAGGGCCACAGUGUCCCCCGUGUCCCCACGGUGGCUGUGGGACAUUCCCAUGCACGACCAGCUGUCUCGGAGAGGGACUCUGCAGUCUUAAAUAAAAUCUGCUCCUUCAGCUCAUGAAAUGGGGACGCUGUGAUUGGCUGACAUGUAAUUACAUAUUGUAUGUAAAGCUGACAACAUAUUACAAAUGAGCAGAAUUUGGAGCUCUUCUCUCCGCUCAGAAGCAGCCUCUGAUUGCAGAGAAGUAGGACUUUGCUUCCCCUUCCCAUUCCAAGCUGUUUACUCUCUCUCAAUCACGCUGCAUUCCCAUGUUUUUGUCCAAGCUGCAGGUAGGACUGGUGGGGAGCAGCUGGGGACAUCUCCGGUGACAGUUCAUGGUCGGCUUCUGCCAGGUACCAGCCCAGAAACAUCAGGUGGUACCUUUGCAGGUAGCUGUGACUGUCAGCUCUCAGGCUUAGGAAUACAGUAAGGGUAAUUACGUGCUAUGUGUGCUGUGCUGUGGUAUUUUUAAAAGUGCAACCUCUAAGAUGAAAUACACCCCCUUUUU